GAUUCAAUAAAUGGACAUCAGACACCAACGAGGACAGCUAUCAUGAUGACUUCUAUGGAACAUGCGGAGAUAAUACGAAGACCAUGCGAUGGAUGUGGGAAUAUUUUUGAAUUGAAAGCAAAAACAGUUUUAUUCAUGAGCAUUGUCGCAUUUGGGGUUUUGGCUUUUAUCGUCUUAAUAGUGUAUGCUUACACCUUUUCCAAAACACCUACAAUAGAAUCUGAAAGACUCCAGCAUGGAACUGAAAAUAACGAGGACAGUAUUUAUGAAAAAAUCUGAUUCGGCGCAUUUCUUAAAAUUGCUGUUUGGUGUUCGUGUUUUUUGACCUCAUUUUAGACGAAGAGAUGCUACUAACAAAUAUGUAAAUACCACAGGAGCUUCAACAGACUAGAUUGUUUGUAUAUUGUAUUUACAUGUAGCUAUGGACUAUUCCGUUUAUCUGAUCAAGAUAUAGGACUCACGGUAUGUGUGUUCAUCAAAUUGAGAUGCUUACACCUCCUAUUCACCUAAUUCCACAUCAAGCUUUUCCAGAGAACUGCGUUUUCAUACUCUUAAUUUUGUAUGCUUUAUAGGCUUUCUGAUGUGAUCACUUUCCCUUAUCUUUAUUUGUUUUUAUUUAACACAGCGUAUAACAAUCUUUAUCUGUGAAACAAUGAAGCAAAUUACUAAAAUUCGAAACAGUUUAAUUUCCAUUUAAAUUCAUUUCAAUCAAAUCUUAUCAUCGUGAAUGUUAGAUUUACGUGGAAAGACAGAGAGAUGAGCCGGAUGAAAAAUGAAGAAAAAGAACAAUAAUUGAUCACAUCAACCUCAUAAAGAUGACACACUUAAGAGUAGGGUAAACAAAGUCCCGUGGACACAUCGGAGGUGGGAUGAGUUGCUUACGAGGAGUAACCAUUCCGUGUUCAUAAGUCACAUCAACCGUUACUCAUUUACCUUUUGUUAUGUGGAGUAGAUGAAUUAAGACAAAAGACUUCAAAUCAGCGUUCUAUGUUUUUUUUUAAUUCCUUAUUGUAAUAAUACCAUUACACCAACAACACUAUCAGUUCUAUGUGAUUUGUUUCUAACCUAUUUUGUAACGUAAAAAUAACCCGAUACUAUAUUACGAAAAUUUUUCUUGCCUUAAAAAUUCAUUCCCGAUUAACAAACUGUUUCAAUGGAUGAUGACAAACGUGGGAGAGACUUUUGUGUCCGACAAUUUCAUUAAUAUUGAUUAUUCCAUAUGUUUGGUUUUCCUUCAAUUCUUCAAGAUUUCGUAUACAUUGUACCAAUAUCAAAGUCCCAGCAUGUCAUUUUUUUCUUCAUCUGCAGUAGCCUAGUAGUUAGUGUGCUCACAUAGCAAAGAGGAUUUUCGACUCCUCUGCCGUGUGAAACAAGUUAUGUUCAACAAGGCAAACGUCAACGUCCCGUUCCCAAUUGCAGGACAUUAGAAGGCCAAAUCACAUGUCACAGAUCUAACCUUUAACAAGGAGGUCCCGUGUUAAGGUAGGCGUUGACAUGAUAACGAACCGUCACUGCUAGGGUCAUACGUCGCAUGCAUUAGUCAAAAUGAACAUUUCCAUAAAAAUCGUCGUUUGUAUCAGAGUCUUUCUCUGCAUAGGGGAUGUCAAUUACUUUCUUAACGUUUUUAUUGUAUUAAUGUAUUGUGUUAGUACAGUAAUUUUUGUCGACAGGUAAUGACGGUUUGAGUUAAUAUCCAUACAUUUAUAUGCCCUGCAUUCCGCAAGAUGAGAAGGCGGUGAUUAAUAUUAUCAUAUACAUGCAAAAAAUAAAACAACAUUGUUUUUAUUCAUUUUAUAUCACAGAAUCUCUAAGCUAAAAUAUCAAUCUAGAAAAGCCAAUUGCCAGGGAAGGGACCCUGACUAACCCUUCAAAGGUAUCAAUAAAAAUCGUUAAACACAACGCUCGAUGUUGAAAAAUAUAAUCUGUUUCUGGGAUGUUGAACUCAAAAGGGGAUUAUCUUGUAAAUGUAUGCCCGCCAUCGUUCCCCCAUAUGCUUAUAUGCUUAACUUUACGAUUAUAUUACCGCUUCAAAUUGUUUGUAAAUAUUAUGUAAACGUUGUGUAAAUAUAUUGUGGUGGAAAUUAUUACUCGAUUAAAAUGUUGUUGCUCAU